rnacentral:misc_RNA from 1 species
AAUUUUUUUUUCUCUGUACAUUCAUGAAUUGAUAGUUAGUGAGCUGAAACUCUAAUCCGUAGACCAUUUGGUGCUUCAACUCUUGGGAAUUUCAUCAGUUUAUCUCCACCUAUUUCUUCCCAUCUGUAUUUUGUUACGAAGUAAUGAAGAAAUGUGGAAAUUUCUGCUACACCAAGUUCCUUUCCAGGACAUUGUCUGGUACCACCUCCAAAUACCAAAAAUGAGUUUUGGUGUUCCAGGCUCUUAUCCAUCCAUCUCCAUGGAUUGAACGAAUAUGGAUCAGGAUAAAGUCUUGGAUCGUAAUUCAACUCCCUUGUAUAUACGUAUAUUCUCCAUCCUUUAGGAAUGAUAUACCCAUUUAUUUCCA